rfam:Myotis brandtii contig264364, whole genome shotgun sequence.
UAGCUUCUUCUUAAUUACUAUACUUAAAAUAAAAAUAAAGUGCUACUAAAAUUGGCAUGGGCCCUGAGCAAGGAUGGCACGCAAAUUCGUGAAGUGUUCUAUAUUUUG